CAUUCAAUACCAAAAAACCCAACAAACAGUACCCGACCGACCCCAGACUCGUAUUUCUUCUUCUUCUUCAGCUAAACGACGUAGAAGCAGAACAACACCCCAAAAACAAAUUCGAAAACCAGAAACCCGCGUCCAGAAAUUCGCAACCCAACAGCCCAGAAAAUCGAUCCGAAUUGCGUCGUCCUUUCUCUCGUAGAAGGACUGUUGUAGAACUUUCCAAGUGUCUCGAUCUCGUUGAUUCCUCGUCCUUUGCUUGGAAUCGGACGAGUCCCUUCAUUUUCCCAUUGGAAAUUGGUACUCCUUUUUAGCUGGAAACCUUAUCCUCCAUUUCGAAUUUGAAUUUUUGAAACUCCAUCCCGAAUUUCCCCCUAUUUUCUACCCUAAUUUAAUUCUAUAAAUACCUUCAUCUUUCUCAUUUAAAAUAAAAAAAAAAAAGAAGAGAGGGAGAGGGUUUAAUAAAUGGGAAAAAGUAGAGAAAAUUAUUAGUCAUAUACAUUUAUAUAUGAAUAAUUAGGAAAGAGGUUUCAAAAUAGAUUGAAUAUUCCAGAUUUUACUCCCUCUGUUUACUGGUUCGCUUCUGUUUUCUUUGUCGAACUUCUCGGAGUUUUGUUUCGGUUAUGGAAGCUUGAUGUCUCUGCUUAUUCAGUCUCGGUCCAGCUGCCCGGAAAAAGGUCUCAAAAAAAGCCCAAAAGAAGGCAGUAUACAUGAAGUAUACAAUUGUAUACACAAGUAUACACGGAAAGAAUCAUUAUAUAUAGGUCUAAACUGACAAAACAAGUGCCGGAAGUCUGAAACGGGCAGCGUACAUUCAGAAUACGUCCCAAUAUACACGGAAACGAGUCGAAAUAUGUAUCGUAUACAUUCAUAUACGUUUGGUGUAUACACAAAUUUUUAAGUGUGGAAAAGAAGGAAUAUAGGGCCAGAAGCCCAAAGGAAAUUCCAACAAGCCCAACAGGUCUAAAUGGGUCAAGAUCCAUUUUGGGUCAUUUUAGUUUUAGGACAGGUUAUAAAGAUUUGGGUCUAAGGCCUAAAUUUAAUACUCUCUUCCCUUUUUACUCUUAUAUGUAUUAUUUUAACUAACUUUGUUUAUUUCAUGGAUUAAUUUAAUUAAAUCCCUAAGAUUGUCAUU